UCAUCAAUGACGGCUGAGAAAGCCCUAGCUCUGCUCCGAAGAAGGCUACGCGAUCUGAACUUCGCUUAUGGAUCCUUCAAAUCGUCUCCAGAUAGCAACUCGAGGUUGUGGAGCUUGUUCUUGGAGAUUUGAGUGCUGAAUAUCCAGAUAUGAUUUUUGUGAUGUUCUGUUUAUCAUCAAGGAAAUUGCAAGGCAAUUAUGUUUGGAGCAUCGGUUCUUAUUCUCAAAAAUG